UACGAGGGGGGCGAGCGUUGUUCGGAAUUAUUGGGCGUAAAGGGUGCGUAGGCGGUUCCGCAAGUCCUGUGUGAAAUCUUCGGGCUCAACUCGAAGUCUGCACGGGAAACUGCGGGGCUUGAGUGUGGGAGAGGUGAGUGGAAUUCCCGGUGUAGCGGUGAAAUGCGUAGAUAUCAUUUGGAACGCCAACGGUGAAAACAGGCAGCUGGGGGGUGUGCUGACGCUGAGACACGAAAGCCAGGGGGAGCGAACGGGG
rnacentral:rRNA from 1 species